rnacentral:rRNA from 1 species
CCUACGGGAGGCAGCAGUGGGGAAUAUUGCACAAUGGGCGCAAGCCUGAUGCAGCCAUGCCGCGUGUAUGAAGAAGGCCUUCGGGUUGUAAAGUACUUUCAGCGGGGAGGAAGGGAGUAAAGUUAAUACCUUUGCUCAUUGACGUUACCCGCAGAAGAAGCACCGGCUAACUCCGUGCCAGCAGCCGCGGUAAUACGGAGGGUGCAAGCGUUAAUCGGAAUUACUGGGCGUAAAGCGCACGCAGGCGGUUUGUUAAGUCAGAUGUGAAAUCCCCGGGCUCAACCUGGGAACUGCAUCUGAUACUGGCAAGCUUGAGUCUCGUAGAGGGGGGUAGAAUUCCAGGUGUAGCGGUGAAAUGCGUAGAGAUCUGGAGGAAUACCGGUGGCGAAGGCGGCCCCCUGGACGAAGACUGACGCUC